rnacentral:sRNA from 1 species
CUUGUGGAAUUUCUUUUGCUACCAGAAAUGAUGAAGGUUCUUCUGAAUAACUUUUGAAAUAAAAACAUGUAUAAUUGCCUGAGUGAGGCCUGAGAAUGGGUUCACAGUGGGAAGCUACAGGUCAUCUUUUGUGCCCCUGCUAUUGGGUCAUGCAGUCCCCCUCUCCAGCCAGCAAGCUAUGCUUGUCUGCCUCUUCUGCUUCAGGGCAGGGCCCCAGCCCUAUGGGAAGCCAGCAGUUCAUUGCAUCUGCCUGCCAAGUAACUCUCUUCUUCUUUUAAAACAACCCACAGCCAGCCGUGAAGUUGCUCUACAACAGAAGUAACAACAAAUACUCAUAUACCAGCAAUUCUGACGACAAUAUGUUGAAAAACAUUGAACUGUUUGAUAAGCUGUCUCUGCGCUUUAACGGAAGGGUCCUGUUCAUAAAGGAUGUCAUUGGGGAUGAAAUCUGCUGCUGGUCCUUUUAUGGUCAGGGCCGGAAGAUUGCUGAAGUCUGUUGUACCUCCAUCGUCUACGCCACUGAGAAGAAACAGACCAAGGUGGAGUUUCCUGAAGCCCGGAUUUAUGAGGAGACCCUGAACAUUUUGCUGUAUGAGGCCCAGGAUGGCCGGGGACCUGACAAUGCGCUCCUGGAGGCCACAGGCGGGGCGGCAGGGCGCUCUCACCACCUGGAUGAGGACGAGGAGCGGGAGCGGGAGCGGAUCGAGCGCGUGCGGCG